UACGUAGGGGGCAAGCGUUAUCCGGAUUUACUGGGUGUAAAGGGAGCGUAGACGGCGAUGCAAGUCUGAAGUGAAAGCCCGGGGCUCAACCCCGGGACUGCUUUGGAAACUGUAUGGCUGGAGUGCUGGAGAGGCAAGCGGAAUUCCUAGCGUAGCGGUGAAAUGCGUAGAUAUUAGGAAGAACACCAGUGGCGAAGGCGGCUUGCUGGACAGUAACUGACGUUGAGGCUCGAAAGCGUGGGGAGCAAACAGG
rnacentral:rRNA from 1 species